GAUGAACGCUGGCGGCGUGCCUAAUACAUGCAAGUCGAGCGAACGGACGAGAAGCUUGCUUCUCUGAUGUUAGCGGCGGACGGGUGAGUAACACGUGGAUAACCUACCUAUAAGACUGGGAUAACUUCGGGAAACCGGAGCUAAUACCGGAUAAUAUUUUGAACCGCAUGGUUCAAAAGUGAAAGACGGUCUUGCUGUCACUUAUAGAUGGAUCCGCGCUGCAUUAGCUAGUUGGUAAGGUAACGGCUUACCAAGGCAACGAUGCGUAGCCGACCUGAGAGGGGGAUCGGCCACACUGGAACUGAGACACGGUCCAGACUCCUACGGGAGGCAGCAGUAGGGAAUCUUCCGCAGUGGGCGAAAGCCUGACGGAGCAACGCCGCGUGAGUGAUGAAGGUCUUCGGAUCGUAAAACUCUGUUAUUAGGGAAGAACAUAUGUGUAAGUAACUGUGCACAUCUUGACGGUACCUAAUCAGAAAGCCACGGCUAACUACGUG
rnacentral:rRNA from 1 species